AGAGUUUGAUCAUGGCUCAGAAUGAACGUUGUCGGCGUGGAUUAGGCAUGCAAGUCGAACGGAUGGGAUCUUCGGAUCCCGUCAGUGGCGGAAGGGUGAGUAAGGCGACGGUAACCAACCCCAUGGUUGGGUAUAGCCGCGGGAAACUGCGGGUAAUCCCCAGCGACGCACGAGGCCGGCAUCGGUCUUGUGCCAAAGUU
rnacentral:rRNA from 1 species